AUUGAACGCUGGCGGCAGGCCUAACACAUGCAAGUCGAACGAGUGGCGGACGGGUGAGUAAUGUCUGGGAAACUGCCCGAUGGAGGGGGAUAACAACUGGAAACGGUAGCUAAUACCGCAUACCAUCGGAGGUGCCCAGAUGGGCUUGGCUAGUAGGUGGGGUAAAGGCUCACCUAGGCGACGAUCCCUAGCUGGUCUGAGAGGAUGACCAGCCACACUGGACUGGAGACACGUUCCAGACCCCUACGGGAGGCAGCCGUGGGGAUUAUUGCACAAUGGGCGCAAGCCUGAUGCACCCAUGCCGCGUGUAGGAGGAGGGCCUUCGUGUUGUAAAGUACUUUCAGCGGGGAGGCGUUACCCGCAGAGGAAGCACCGGCUAACUCCGUGCCAGCAGCCGCGGUAAUAC
rnacentral:rRNA from 1 species